rnacentral:rRNA from 1 species
GUCUAUGGACAUACCACACUGAAUACACCUGAUCUCAUCUGAUCUCAUAAGUUAGCAGUGAAAACUCUAUUUUAUUCACAACUUUGACCUUGUAAAAG